UUAGAUACCCUAUUAUACUAAUAGAACCCUUAAUUAUUAAUAGAUAUAUUCUUUAAAUUUGAAGAAUUUGGCGGUAAUUUAGUCUUGUUAGAGGAACCUGUUUUUUAAUCGAUAAACCACGUAGAAUUUUACUUAACUUAUUAGUUUGUAUACCGUCAUUAUCAGAUAAUUUUCAUAGAAUUAAUUAUUGAAAUUUAUAAUACUUAAGUGGAGAAAAUUAGAUCAAGGUGCAGCUUAUGGUUGAGUUAAAAUGGGUUACAAUAAAAUUUAUUUAUUCAUGGAGUAUUACUUGGAAUUAGUUUUAUGAAGGCGGAUUUAAUUGUAACAUAAGUUUAACACGCUUAUGUGAUAUGAGCUCUAAAUUAUGUACAUAUCGCCCGU
rnacentral:rRNA from 1 species